UUUCCAGACUCCUACGGGAGGCAGCAGUGGGGGAUAUUGCACAAUGGGGGAAACCCUGAUGCAGCGACGCCGCGUGGGUGAAGAAGCGCCUCGGCGCGUAAAGCCCUGUCAGCAGGGAAGAAAAUGACGGUACCUGAAGAAGAAGCCCCGGCUAACUACGUGCCAGCAGCCGCGGUAAUACGUAGGGGGCAAGCGUUAUCCGGAAUCACUGGGUGUAAAGGGAGCGUAGACGGCUGUGCAAGCCUGAAGUGAAAGGCGGGGGCCCAACCCCUGGACUGCUUUGGGAACUGUACGGCUGGAGUGCAGGAGAGGUAAGUGGAAUUCCUAGUGUAGCGGUGAAAUGCGUAGAUAUUAGGAGGAACACCAGUGGCGAAGGCGGCCUGCUGGACGAUGACUGACGUUGAGGCUCGAAAGCGUGGGGAGCAAACAGGAUUAGAUACCCCCGUAGG
rnacentral:rRNA from 1 species